GACGAACGCUGGCGGCGUGCCUAAUACAUGCAAGUAGAACGCAGUUGCGAACGGGUGAGUGACGCGUAGGUAACUGCCUCAUAGCAGGGGAUAACUAUUGGAAACGGUAGCUAAUACCGCCUAUUUUGAGAUGGACCUGAGUUGUAUUAGGUAGGUGGUGAGGUAAAUGCUCACCAAGGCGACGAUACAUAGCCGGGCUGAGAGGGUGAUCCGCCACAACGGGACUUGGACACGGGCCAGACCCCUACGGGAGGCAACAGUAGGGAAUUUUCGGCAAUGGACGGAAGUCUUAACGAGGAAAGGCGCGGGAGUGAAGAAGGGUUUUGGAUUGUAAAGCUAUUUUGUUAGAGAAGCGGUAACUAACCAGAAAGCGACGGCUAACUACGUGCCAGCAGCCGCGGUAAUUC
rnacentral:rRNA from 1 species